UUUUUUUUUUUUACCUUUUUUUAAUCAAAUCAAAUAAAAUAUAUAAUAUUUCUUUACAUUUUUCUUAUUAGUGAAAUUAUUUUUGAUAAUUUUCGUAACGAGAUAAGAACAAGACGUUGGCUAAUGAAGUUGUCAUGUGGAAAGAAAUAUAAAAUAACAUUAACAUAUAAAAAAAUGAUCGUAGUUUUAUAUCACGUUACUGAGAAUCUUUGGCUGUUUUUUUUCUGUGUAUUAUAAUUUAGGUUUUGAUGUUUAAAUAUUGCAGGUGCUGGAGCUGGGGAUUGUGGUGCAUUCUGUGAUAAUAGGGAUAUCUCUGGGUGCAUCUGAAGAUCCUAAAACGAUAAGACCUCUUAUUGCUGCUUUAACUUUUCACCAAUUUUUUGAAGGCAUGGGGCUUGGUGGUUCCAUCUCACAGGUAUUGCAAUUUUCUUUAUUCUUUUGCUCACUGAUUUGUAAUAUUAAUCCAUCGUAAUGUUUUUGGGAACUGAAUUCUUUAUAUGUCUUAAUCAUGCAUAUUCCAAAUUAAUAUAAGCACAAGCACAUAAAAUGAAUAUAUAUAUAUAUAUAUAUAUAUAUAUAUAUAUUCUUCUUUUAAAAAUGUCCUAAUAAUAAUAGGUUUUUGUACUUAAAAUAAUAUUAUUUCGAAUAUUUCAAAACUUCCGAUGAAAAGUCAAUGUUCUUGGACGAGUAACUCCGUCUGAACCAUGCAUGUUUUUCUCAAGUUUUUUUCGUUGUCAGUUUCCCAAUGGGUUAUAUUAAUUUUGUUUUUAAUUUUACGCUGUGAAAACUAUUUAACAGGAUGAAUUUAAUAAGAUUACAAUCUUAUAUAGAUUUAACUGCUUAGAAAAACAUCCAUAGUUAGUAAUUUUUCAAAACCAAUACUGAAACAAUGUCUGUACUAAGCAAUCAAUUAAUUAAUAUCUUUCAUUUUCAAUGCUUUAUAUCUGCGUAGACAUGUGAUGGUAUUGGAUGCAAAUCGCUUGGCUUGAAUAAAAACGUACCAGACACCAUAAAUAGUUGACUUGUGGUGUGGCUUAGCCAGCGUAUAGAUAUGGUGACACCACUGCUUAAAGAUUCUAGUGAAUCCGAACAUUCAAAGCAACAUGACUAUGGUUGUUAUUGGAGUCAUCCAAGGAAGUAUGUCGGCAGAUUUAUAUUUACAAUAGUGUCUUAGUUUAUUAUUGAAGACCAAUUUAUAAUAUAUAUAAAUAGGUACAAAUUUAUUUACACGUAUGUUUUAUGUUUUUGUUUUAUAGAGUUAAAUCAUGGUUAAAAUUCAUUUUUCAACACAUCAAUAUGAAAUUUGAUAUUAGAUUUGUUAUGUAAUAACUUAAGUAACCGUGUUUGUGUUUAGGCAAAUUUUAAGAGAGGAGCAAUUAUAGUUAUGGCGUUAUUCUUUUCGUUGACAACACCUGUGGGGAUUGCAAUUGGUAUGAUAAUCAGUGGCAAUUACAAGGAGGAGAGUCCAACGGCUCUGAUCGUAGAAGGUAUUCUUAACGCAGCAUCAGCAGGUAUCUUAAUUUACAUGUCAUUGGUGGACCUUCUUGCGCCUGAUUUAAUGAAUCCAAAGAUCCAAGCAAGUAGCAAGCUUCAUAUUGGAGUUAACACAUCUUUGCUUAUUGGGGCUGGGUGCAUGUCACUUCUUGCAAAAUGGGCCUAGGCCCACUCUUGUAUAUAAUAUACCUUUCUUUCUACUUGUAUUUUCAUACUUCAUCUCUUCUUGUAAUGUUCAUAUUUUACAACAAUGUGAUUAUGAUGUCAAUAUUUUGUUGUCAAAUACAGUAAUUUGUUUUAAAUGUUUCUUAACUUUUGGGAUUUCUUUUUUUGAUAAAUUCCUGAAUUUAAGAUGAUCAUUUUUAAGUAUACAAAUAAGUAAAUAUUCAAAAUAGUUAUUUGUGUCUCAUCAUCAUCAAUCAUAUCCAGAGAACAGGAUCGACAUAUUUUUGUUUGCAAUCGUGUUUUAAUUAGACACUGUAGACUUUUGUUGAGAAUACUAAUUAGGAGUCUAAGUCCCACAUUAGAUAGAUAGAAAUGAGAAAGCAGAUUACCAUAUAAAAGUGAAAGACUCAUUAACUCAUCGUCUUAAGGUUUUGGGUAAAAAGUGAUGUUAAGCCCUUAUAUUUCAGAUCUCAUUGGUAUUAUAUCUCCUUGGAGAUAGACAAAACAACUUUGACAUUAGAUCUGUUGUGUAAUAACUUAAUAAUGCGUGUUUGUGUUGAGGCAAAAUUCAAGAGAGGAGCAAUUAUAGUUAUGGCAUUAUUCUUUUCACUGACGACACUUGUGAGAAUUGCAAUUGGUACGAUGAUUAGUGGCAAUUACAAGGAGGAGAGUCCAACGACUUUGAUUAUGGAAGGUAUUCUUAACGCAACAUCAAUAAGUAUUUUAAUUUACAUGUCACUGGUGGACCUUCUUGCGUCCGAGAUUUAAUAAAUCCGAAGAUCCAAAUAAAUAGUAGGCUUCAGGUUGGAGUUAACGUAUCUUUGCUUAUUGGGACUGAAUGUAUGUCACUUAUUACAAAAUAAACCUAGGUCUACUAUAUAUAUAUAUAUAUAUAUAUAUACUUUUCUUUCAACUUAUAUUUUCAUAUUGUCGCAUUCAUCUCUUCUUGUAAUAGUUCACAUUUUAUAACAUUGUAAUUCUAAUGUUAAUAUUUUCUAACCAGAUAUAAUAAUUUGUUUUAAGUAUUUCUUAAUUUUCAAGAUUUAUUUUAUCUUUUGAUAAAUUCUUAAAUUUAAAUUUAACAUUUUUAAGUAUAUAAAUAAAUAAAUAUUCAGAAUAGUUAUCCGUGUCUCAUUCAUCAAUCAUAUUACAUUGACAAAAUUUUAAAAAACUUAAAUUAUACAAUUAACAAAUUAGCUGUACAUUAACAAGGAAAGAGAUACAGAAAUUAAGGAGGAUUAUAUACACUAGACUAUAUACAGUAUAUUCAUAUAUUCUAAAAAAUUAGAAUUUGUGUUAAGAAAAAUUAAUUUAUCAGUGUGAGACCAUAAUUAAUUUUAUAUUCAUAUAAAAUUAAAUUAAACAACAAUUAAAUUAAACGCGUUCACUUAAUGGGCCGAGCCCAUGAUGUAGCGCGUAUUAAUGGUAGGGGGUGGAAACAGAAAAGUUGAGCUCGAAAAGAAAGAGGAACAAUAAACAGAAAGUAUAAAAUUUUGAUUUAUUUUGGAAAUGACAUUAAUGUAAAAAUCGAAGGUUUGGGAGAAGGAGAAGGAGAAGGGAGCGUGAUCCUAGCAGCGGAAGGCGCGAGCGAAUCGAAGGCAAUGGUAAAGUUUCUUCCAGAUUCUAAGUACGCUAUAUUUUCGAUCCAGCUUUCUCAUUCUUGCUCCUACUUUCUAGAUUCAAUUCUUAGAUUUUGCAUCAUACCACAAUUAUAAUUACCCAUGUCAAUAAACCAACUCAAUCACCCCACAAAUCACUUUUCUUGCCGCAAAAUCCAUAAAAUCUGGACUUGACGAUGUUGAUUCAUGGUUUCAAGACAAACGCUCUUUCGUGUUUUGACACUCAAUCUUGAAGGUUGUUUAUUUCGUCUUUUUUUGUAUAUGUAUUAGAUUGUUGGGAUAAUUGGACUUUUUUCCCUAAUGCGAUUAGGAUACUCCUAAUAACUUGUCUUUUCAUUCAUGUUUUUAUGAUCUACACCUUGCAAGCGCCAUUUUUAUUCUUUUACUAUCACAUUCUUUCGUUAUGUAUUUCCAAUUUCAACUUGCUUUAUCCCUCCUCUUCUUAAAUGUAGAUACACUUUGUGCUACUCAUUAGUCGUCAGGGGAAGGUCAGGCUCACAAAAUGGUAUUCUCCUUACUCGCAGAAGGAAAGAAAUAAGGUAAGAUGACACCCUAAUCACUGUGUUUGGAUGAAAAUUAGUGAAGUACUUUUGCCAAUUCCACUGUGCAAAUUGAAUAAUGAAGAAAUUGAACUUUUGAGAGUAAAAGAUGUACUUAGUUAUUUAGUUCUUCAAAUUUUCCCAAGCUCCCCUCGUUCCCUUUGGUAUUUGUUAUUUCAGGACUGACUUCUACAUAUUAUUCUUUAACUUGUAAUCUUUGUACCGCCUGCACUGUGAUGGACCUGUGCAUGAUGGCUUACUGUGUCCUACUUAAAUCAUCCUUGAUACAUGAUUUUACAUGCAAUUUAUUUUUUACAAGGCUAUCCGUGAGAUCAGUGGCGUGGUUCUUACACGUGCUCCCAAGCUCUGUAAUUUUGUAGAAUGGCGGGGACAUAAAAUUGUUUAUAAAAGGUAAUUUACAAGUGUGUAUGGCCGUUUGUCAUAUACCACUACUUACUCCUUUGCAAAACACUCUUCUGUCUGGCUAUUUUCUAACAAAUAUUUGCUGCAGGUAUGCUAGUCUUUAUUUCUGCAUGUGUAUUGAUGAAGAGGACAACGAAUUAGAAGUCCUUGAAAUAAUUCAUCAUUUUGUAGAGAUUCUUGAUCGGUAUUUUGGCAGUGUGAGUUCUGUUCAAAGCUGACUUUUGGAGAAUACUGCUUUAUUCACAUAUGAAAAUAGUAUCAUUCUUUCUAGGAAGGGAUGUAAGGAUUAAUGGUCGCUUCACUUUUGCAGGUCUGUGAACUGGACUUGAUAUUCAAUUUCCACAAGGUUUGUCUGUCUGUCUGCGGCUACUUUGUAACCUUUAACCUGUUCUCAUUAUGAAUUAAUUUUGAAGCUGAAAUCACCUUAAAUGGGCAUUAAUAAUUGAUCAUAUGAACUGCCUCAUUUUCUUGGGGUCAACCGAUUUCUCUUCUGACAAAUGUUCUUGGUUUUGUUUUAUCAUGGAAGGCCUAUUAUAUACUUGAUGAACUUCUAAUUGCCGGUGAGCUUCAGGAGUCAAGCAAGAAAACUAUUGCACGGUUAAUAGCUGCACAGGUAUGCAAUGUUCUUUCUCUUUCAGAAAUAUUUGUGUCAGCAGUUUCUUCCUGGAGAGUUUUGUCUGAUGCAAUUUUAUAUGAAAAUGGUUUUCAGGAUUCAUUGGUGGAGACUGCCAAGGAGGAAGCCAGUUCAAUAAGUAAUAUAAUUGCCCAAGCCACUAAAUGAGGAAAUCCCAUGUUCCAUUUGACAUUUUGGGGCAUGGAGCCCUGUUUUUAUUUCUGUUAUGUUGAAUGCUUGAUUCUGUUUUUGUGGUGCAAUAGAAAGGGACAUAAACCAAGUGUGUUUGUUAACAGGAACAUACGAUCUUCUCCAUCUGAAUUCUAAGGUUGGCAAUUUCAUACAUAUAGUUCAUUUUUUUCAGGCAAGAUUGCGUGAAUGGGUCUUCUUAUACCCUUAUAAGAAGGACAUUGAAUUUUGAAAGACCUUUAAUUACUUAAAGGGUCAUUUCUUCCCGUAUCUCCGUAAUUUCAAUCUCUAUCAUGAUAAAAUUUGUAUUUUGGAAUUUAUAAUCUUGAAUAUUAUUUUUAAUAUUUCGCAUUAUAUAUUUUAAAAUACAAAAUAAAAAAAUACAUUUUAAAUUGUAUAGUUCUUAAAAUACAAAUAUAUUUUAGAUUGUAUAUCUUAAAAUGCAAUUUAUGUUACAUUGCAUUAUUUGAAAUACAAAAAUUUGAAGAAAUACAAAAAUUAAAAUUAUGGAAGUGCAGAGAGAAAUUGCGCUCCACCAUAACUUUUAAUAAAUUAAACAGACCAGAAAUUCCGAAAAAUUAAAAAGAAAGGAAGAGUCCGUAUUUAUUUAUUUUAUGAUCUCGUCUUUAUAGUAUUUGUUUCCGUUUUAGAUAAUUAAAAUAUUCUGUAAUUUAAAAGAUUUAUUCUGACUAAUAAAUCUUUUCCUUUAUUUUAUUUUUAAAAAAAAAUCUGAUACAAAAUUUGUAUUCUCUUUUUUAAUUAUUUUUCACAUUCAUCGAAUUUACAAUCUUAACUGUACAUUUCUUUUGUAGUUUUAGUUAUACAUUUCUUUUAAUCUUUUAUACGGUUUUUUGGUUGUAAAAAACAUAAAAAUUAGAGUUAUCAAAUUUAAUCAUCAGAUAUAUAUUUAAUCAUUUUUAUUUUCUUAUAUUUAUACUUUUAAUUUAUUAGAUACCUUAAAAAUUUAUUUUCUCUCUUCCCUAUACUUUGUUUUGUUUGAAAGGAACUUUCGUUCUGUAAAUCUUCCUUCGGUUUAAAUGUUCACUCAAAUUAAUGGAAUAUUUUACUUCUUAACAUUUCUAAAAAUAGUAAACAUUAUUAUUUAAUGUGAUAUUUUAUUUCGAUUUUAUUAAUAUUUGAGAGUAUAAAAAAGAAAAAAAGAUUCCAUAGGCAUGGACAAGAACUGGUCAUUGAAUUUUGGGACUGGUAAUUGAAUUUUGGGACCAGCAGAGCAGGCGUGCACUCCAAAAACCAUCACAAAACAAUGCUGUCCUUAAGUUUCUUCUAUAAGAUCUUCCUUUCCCUUAUCCUUCCAAUGACUUUCAUCACCACAGCUUCCGAGUGAGUGAGUGAGUGAACGAGUCAGCAACAUGGAAAAAGCUGCACGACUCGUCUUCAUCCCUGGUCAAGGAGUGGGUCAUCUCGCCUCCACCAUUCAGUUCGCCAACCUUCUGUUAGAGCGCCACCACCAUAUUUGGAUCACUCUCUUUGUAACCGAACUACAAUCUGACACCACAACCGCUGCUUACACUCAUUCCCUUAACUCCAACCGUCUUCAGCUCGUCAACCUCCCGGAAACUCCAUCCGACGCCCCACUAACUCCGAUGAAAAUAAUCGAACUUCAAAAGCCACACGUCAAAGAAGCUGUCUCCAACCUCAGCCCCACACCCCCACUCGCGGCCUUCGUCAUCGACAUGUUCUGCACCGGCAUGAUCGAUGUCGCCAAAGAGUUCCACGUCCCUUCACUCGUCUUCUUCACCUCUGGUCUUGCUUUCCUUGGUUUGAUGCUUCAUCUUCACACCCUCAAGGAAGAGGAGAACGCCGAGUUCACCGAGCCCGACGCCGAGUGGGUCAUCCCGAGUUUCGCGAAGCCAGUCCCAACACGGAGUUUACCUUCCAUAGUGCUGCGGAAGGAGUGGGAGGAGUUUUUCGUGGCCUACGGGAGGGGCCUCAAGAAAGCUGACGGCUUCAUAGUAAAUUCAUUCGAGGAGCUAGAAUCCCAUGCGGCACACUCUUUCCUUGACGGGCCUCAGCUAGUUUUUGCAGUGGGACCCAUUCUAAACCCAAAGCCCAAGCUCCAUCCCCACGCUCCCGCCGACAACGCUGACAUCUUCGAUUGGCUUGACAACCAACCCCCUUCCUCCGUUGUGUUCAUGUGCUUCGGGAGCAUGGGUUCUUUUGCUGAGGAUCAGGUGAGGGAGAUCGCACGGGCUCUUGAAAACAGUGGGGCCCGUUUCCUGUGGUCCCUGCGGAAAGCUCCACCCAAGGGCUCUAAUUUUAGGACCCCGCCCUCUGAUUACGCUCCCUCCGAAUUGCCUUUGAUUUUACCUGCGGGCUUCUUAGAUCGGACGGCAGGGAUUGGAAAGGUGAUCGGGUGGGCCCCUCAGGCCCAAAUACUGGCCCACCGAGCCACCGGAGGGUUUGUUUCUCACUGCGGCUGGAAUUCUACCCUUGAGAGCAUACAUUUUGGUGUGCCCAUUGCGACCUGGCCGCUUUACGCCGAACAACAGACGAACGCAUAUUUACUGGUGCGUGAGCUGGAGAUUGCUUUGGAGAUUUCGUUGGAUUACAGGGGUGAGCGUGAGUCCAUGAAUGAAACUCCCAGCUUUUUGAAUGCGGAGAAGAUAGAAAAUGGAUUAAGGAAUUUGGUGGAGAUUGAUGAUGAGAAAAGGAAGAGAGUGGUGGAAGCGAGUGAAAAUAGUAGGAAGACAUUGUUGGAAGGUGGAUGUUCUUACUCUUCGUUUGGACGUUUGAUUGAUUACGUAAUGAAUCAGGUUUAGCUAUCCUUAUUCUAAUCAAUCCUAUGUAUUAUUCCAUGCACAAUAUGUUUCUUCGAACGAUGCUGUUCCAUAUUAUAUUUGCAUAUUAUAUUAUUUUUAUUUGAGGAAAAAGUCUCUUUAACAACACUUUUUUUGACAAUUUUUUGACAACGCAUACGUGGUAGUUUAUGAUUGGUUCGUUUCAAAUAUUCUUUUAAAAUAAAUUUAAACAGACGAAUGAAAUGGUGACACGUGUUCUGUUGUCAAAAAAGUUGUCAAAAAGUAUUGUUAAAAUAU
rnacentral:lncRNA from 1 species